rnacentral:lncRNA from 1 species
UUGUAUAAAGUGAAUUAUGACCCAAUCCACACCGCCUAUUCAUGUCCGCCGACUAUAUAAAUAUGGAUCCUUCAAUCAUUCUUCCCCAACCCGAACCCGGACUUCUCAUAAUUACUGUAUAACGAACCAAUCAUGUCACAGAUUCAUUCUGUAAAUGAAGCCUUUGACCUCGAUCACGCCUUAACAAUGGUAGAUUGCGGGUCGGACUCAGGCAUAAACCAGUCGACGGAACCCAUGGCGGCCGACCCGAUUGAGAUGCCUACGGUUACUGCGAGUGGCUCCUGUGCAGUUUGUAUGGAGGGAUACAGAUCAGGUAAGCAAGUCCAGUGUGGACACGUGUUCCAUGCAGUUUGUAUCACAAGGUGGCUCUCUCGCCAUAACUCUUGCCCUUUAUGUCGGUUCCCAGUCUCCGGCACCACCACCUAGGUUGUUGUGUGAUUUUUUAUUUUUUUUUGGCGUUUUUGAGGGGUGAAUUGACACUGAGAAGAAAUUAUAUUGUUCUAUUCAGUUCGCGUUCAUGUCUGUGUUGUGAAAAAAAAAAAAAAGUGGGUUGCUUAGCUAAUUUCCUUAUUUAAUUUCCUUUUAUUUUGUAAUAAAUUUAUAUAAUUCAGUAAUUCUUUUGAAGAUAUUAUCAUCAACCUUUUUUUUCUUUUUUUUCCUUUCUUUGCCCCCUAAGGUAUCACUUUCCUAACUUCUUUUAAAAAGGUGAAUGUGAUGCAACUAUAGAUACAAUAGUAAAACAAUCUCAUUUUACUGUUCACGUUAUUUUUUUCCCUUUUUUUUUUAUUUUUUGCUUCUAUUCAUACUUGCGAUCAUGCCGACAACCAUGCUAACCAUACUCCCAUGAUCAUACUCCUUAUUUUCCUUUUUAUUGAUAUCUUCAUUUUCUUUUCUUUUUUUUCGUUUUGGUGAAUUCUAUUUUUAUUGGACCACAUUCCAAAUAUUCUAACUUCAUCUUCGAAGCUUUCAACGUUGAUUCUCUUUUUCUUUUUUCUUUUUUUUUGCUUUUUAGUUUGCUGUCGACAUGGGAAGACAACAAUAUUAGAUACCUAUAUUUAUAGAGGUUGAUUUUCCUCGAUGCACAUUUGAUUAAGGAAAUAAAAGUCCAAUUAAUGUAGAAAUUUUACAAAUAGUCUCCACCUUAUCUUUACAUAAUCAUGUUAUUUCUUAAAAAAAAUGUUGGUGAUUGGUUUAAGAAUAUGCGGGCUUAUGAAAGAAAGAGAAAGCAAACGUGCAUUGAGAAUCUUCAACUGAAAAAUCUAAUGCAUGAAGUGCAACCUUAUUUUGUAGUUCAUUCUGAUUGACGUUUAAGGACCUUCAGUUUAACAUGUUGAUAUUAAGUAGUGUUUAUGCUCUUUUUAUGUGCUUGUAUUUGUUUUAAUCAAAUUUUAUCCUGAAAAAAUAAUCAAGUGGCACGAAGAGAUGGCACAUGAGUUCAGAACUCUUUGCACACUUCGAAGAAAUCAGCUUACUAAUUUUUUUUCUUAACAGUUUGAACAAGCUUAAUUUGUAGUUAUUUUUUUUUAUAUAUAAUAAUUAUGUUUAGUUUAUCUGUAAUUUUUAAUUUAUCAAUUUUUGUUGUGUUUUAAUUUGUUUAUUUUUAUUGGCUAUUUUUUUAAGAAAAAAUCCAAAAACUCCGCACCAUGCGGAGAGUGCGGAGGGAAGAAUGGUCUAACCGCAUAGUUCAGAGAGAUGAAUUAAUCUCUGUGAACUGUUCAGAGAUUUAUUUAUUUAUUUAUUUUUAUAGCGGUCAUUUUUUAUGUAAUAUAGUUUAUUUAUAUGAAAUGCUUUUUUCGUUACAAUUUCCUUUUUUUUCAAAUUUUUUUUCUUUCGUAAUGCUAAUCAACAUUUUGAAUAAGGGGAAUGAGUGUGAGUGUUGAAUAUGCAGAAAAAAUUGAUAAAGAAAAUACUUAUGUUUUGACAUCUUCUAAAAUUUGUGCUCAUUCUCCUACUACAAAAUUCUAUAGAAAAAGCAGAGGCUUUUAUUGUUGUAAUGAAAAUGUUUUUAGUAUGAUUUAUUUACUUCUAAAUCUUUUUAAAAAGUUGUUCGUGUUUCCGUUUCUAUAGUUUUUAAUUUAUCAUUUUGUUGUACUUGUAUUUGUUAUAUUUGUUUAUUGGCUGUGUUUUUUUUUUACAGAAAAAACUUUGAAAACUCCUCACACUCUGCAUAGUUCAGAGAGAUCAUUGAUUUCUGCGAACUCUUCGGAGAUUUUUUUUAUGGCUCUUAUUUGGUCAUUUUUUAUAUACAAUUAUGUUUAGUUUAUUUAUAUGGAAUGCUUUUUUCCUAAGAAUUUUCUUUUUUUUCCAAAUUUUUUUCUUUUUUUCUUGAAGGUGAUGCUAAUCAACGUUUUAAAUUAGGGGAAUCAGGGGACGUGAGUAUGAGUAUGAGUGUUGAAUAUGCAAAAAAAAUUGGUAAAGGAAGUAUUCUUCAUCAACCUUAUGUUUUGCCAUCUUCUAAAAUUUGUGGUCAUUAUGGUGCUAUAAAANAUUAUUGUUACAAGUUUCAAAUUAGGUGUGUAAAUAAUUGUAUUAUUUUACAUGCUGACAGACUUUUACAGCAAUAUGUUGUGGAUAUGUAUGUGAAAAUUGAAACAGCAAGAUUACACUACUUUUGUAAUAACCAAAAUGUUAUAAGAGCUGAACUACAUCAGGGAAUUGUAGAUAGUGUACAAAAUUGUGAAAAUAGAGGUUAUAAAAUUAGUAGAUCAUUAGUAUUGCCUUUUGGUUUUGUUAGGGGGUCCUAAUAACAUGACUAAAAGAUAUAUGGAUACAAUGUCUUUAGUUCAGAGAUAUGGUAAACCUAGUGUGUUUUUUACAAUGACAUGUAAUCCAAAUUGGUUUGAAAUAAAACGUGAAUUGAAACAUAGUGAUGAAAUACAGAAUAGGCCAAAUUUGUUAGUACGAAUAUUUCGUGCCAGAUUUGAGGAAUUGAAGACAGAUUUGUUUAAGAGAAAGUUGUUGAGUCCUAUUGCUACAUAUGUCUAUGUGAUUGAAUUCCAAAAAAGAAGAUUACCUCACGCUCAUUUUGAGAGUCUAUAUUAAGAUUAUUAAAGACGAAUUUGUUUUGUCGUUUUGAAAAAUUAUUUCUUAAAAUAGAAAAUUAGAAAAUACGUUUGGUUUGAAAUUUAAAAAAAAAUAUAUAUUUUAUGACAUUUUAUUUUAUAAAAUUUUAUAAAACAUUUUAUUUCAUGAAAUUUAAUUAUUCAGUGAAAAUAGAACAAUUUUAUGUUAAAAAGUAUCAAGUAAUAUAUAAAUAUUACAAUAUUUUUCUCGUUAUAAAAGGAAAAUAAAAACAACUAAUUAACUGAUUUCAAAAAUAUAUGAAAUAAAAAUAAAAAUUAAUGACAUUAACUGAAAAUAUUUUGUUAUUUGUGUUAUUUUUUUUUUUUAUGUAAAUAAGUAUUAAGAACUUGAACUAUUUUUAUUUUUUUUAGAAAUUUUUAUAAUUUUAUUUUUCAGAAUUUUUAUUUUUCAUUUUUUAAAAUUUCAUUUUUAAAAUUUUAGGUUUCACUUUUUUUUUCAAAAUUUUUGGUUUUUUUUUUUGAAUUUGGUUUCCUGAAUUACGUCCCCGUUUGGCCCCCAUUAUUUGAUAUUAUUUUUUUUUAAGUAGUGUUUUUUGGAGAAUGUACGGCUGAAAAAAUGAUUUAGGUGUAUACGGAAGAUUGUGUGGUUGAAAAUAAGAGAAAAAAAUUAUAAUGUGAAAUAAUAGGGGUCAAAUGGAAACUAUAUAUUUUUUUAAAAAAAAUUAUUUGUUAUAAUUUUAAAUUUUUAUUUUAAAAUUUUAUUUAAACACUUAUUUUCCAUAUUUUAGUAUUUUCACUAAAAACACUCAAAACAUCAAAAAUGUCUUUUGAGUUUUUAUAUUAUAAAUUUAUCCUUGUUUUCGAAAUGCGUUUUUAGAAAUAUCCGACCAAAAACAUUUUUAGUGUUUUGCAAAAUUAAAUACUGAAACAACUCAAAAAUAGCAAAUCAAAUGCACCCUUAUAUUUUUAUUUUUAGAUUGAUUAGGGCACAGCAACACAGUAGACCAAGCCCACAAAGGCUCAAUGCUCUUCAUGAUUGAGCUAGCUCGCAACAAGAAUUUAAUAUAGACAUGGUUCAUGAAUCAUCACUGAAAAGGAACAUAAAACAUAAAAUGACUUAAUUGAUUGUCGCCAUAGUUUAACAACAAUUUUAGCGUUGUUGGUCUAUUUAUUUUCUUUUUUUGUUCUUUUUUUUGUAGAGGCGACGUAGCCAACAAAUAUCGGAUUCUCUCUCGUCCACAUAAUCUUUUGUCUUGUAUACUUUGGACAAAUUGUAAGUUGUAUGUGGCCCUCUCCGGAGUAGGAAAGGCAGCUACGUACACUUAGAAGGUUAAAUUAGUCUUUGUACCAGUGGGUAUUUGAUUAUGGGACAUACUUAUAAAGAUGUGAGCUACUUAAGUAAAAAAAAAAAAAAAAAGUUCAGAUGCAUGGAUUAUAGAGAGUGAAGAAAGAUUGCAAAAGUUAUAUGUUGAGAGCAUAGAAGUGUAUUACUUUUUAAUGGAACAAUGUGUUGUUUUUAUAGUAGAAGGAGGUGAGUAAAAAUCCUUAGAUGAAAAGACAAAUGACCCCAUUCUAACGGUCGAGGUACCUUAUCAUAGGUAUCAAUCAAUCAGUCCUAGGCUCCAGCGCAUUUAAUGUUAUGACCCUUUGCCACCCUUGCCCAAUCGUGCAAGUUUUGACUUGGUAGGGUGAUGUUGUAGUGAAUUUUCAUAUCAAUCAAUGUUAAGCAAUCUUGUUCGAAAGAUCCUCUACAGUCUUUACCUACCUCUCCUCAUCCAUGUGGGUUUUGCCUCAGACAUAAGUUUGACCUCUCCAUAGGGGGUUGACUUCUUCAUGGGGUUCGAUCAAGAAGAAUGACAUGGAGCGUUCGCCUAAAUUUGCUAAUUACUAUGUGAUUGUCAGGUAGCUAUGCUUGGAACCUUGAUGGAAGAAGCGUAACAGGUGUCAAAGGAAACAAAACACUAGUCUUGGCAAAACAUUACAAUUACGCAAACAAGUCAAGUUUCUUCGAAUUAUCCUAUAAUUCUUCAAAAACAAAUUUUAAAAAGAAUUCAUAUGUAUAUCAAUCUUUUCUAAAUUCAAUCGGACAAUCGUCUUCUAGAUUAUAAAUAGGACAGUUAUGAAGAAAAAACAAACAUAGAGAGAAUAACUGACUGUCUCCACAGUUUGAUAACAAUUUUAUUGUCAAAGAAAACAAAACACUAGCCUUGGCAAAACCUUACGCUUAUGAAAGCCUGGCAAGUUUCUUCAGAUUAUCAAAACAUUGGCCAAGAAAUCCAAAAAUAAUUUACAUGUCUAUAUAGAUCCUGUUUGAGCCACAUUUUUCACAAAAAAAAUACAUUAUUAAAAAGUGAUUUUACAUCAUUUCGACCACCCAAUUUUUAAAUAAAAUAAUAUUACACACAAAUUCAAACUUUUUCUCAUUUUUAAACCACACAUUCUCCAUCAAUUCAUUAUUCCAAAAUACAUUAUUUCAAAAUAAUGUGGCUCAAACACACACAACAUAUCUUCUUAAUGUUAGAUCAUAUUUUAUAUCACAUCUCUCCAAAAGAUUAGAUCACAUAAUAUUCUUCUAGAAUAUUACUACAUAUAAAGUUGUCUUUCUUCGAGAAUAACAAGACUUUUUUUUUUUUUUUUUCAAAAUAUUGAUGUACGGAUAAAAAAAAUUCUGCUUUAGGGCAUAAUACUCUGCUGAUUUAUUGUUAUACUAAAAUAUCUUUCUUCUAUUAGAAUACACAUGUUAUAUUCUUAUCAAUUCCUAUAAAGUUAUGUAGAACAAUACAAAAAAUCCUUUAGAAUAAGGUUAAGCAUAAAUAUGAGGUUUUCUCGAGAGCAAGCGCACAAUAUUUAUAUGUAAACUUUUUGCUUCUUUAGGAGUAAUAUUAUAAUUAUUAAUAUAAAUAUUUUUCAAGAACAUUUAUUAUAAAUUGAUAUUUUUUCGAAAGUUAUAAGACAAUUUUCUAAUGAAAUAUUGAUAUGAGUAAUGUGUGUGUGUGGUGUGGAGAGAGAUAUCUAUAUAUAUGAUCUAAUGAUUAUCGACAUUCACCAAUUAAUUAGUGUGUUAUGUCGCCAUGCUUAAUAUAAACUAAACACUGAUGCUCAUUAGAUUCUUCUCUAUAGAAAUACGAAAUUACAUCAGUAUUUAGUUUUAGAAAGGAUAAAUCAUACAAAUAUUCACUCUUUUGUUUUGUAGAACAAUGUCAAAAAUGUUGUAAAUGGUAAGUUUAUCAGUGAAUGACAAUUGUAUCUGUGCAACCCUAGAAAUUAUUAUCGUUGUAUCCCUGAUUUUUUCCUAUAAAUAUAGGGGUUUGAUUCUUAAUAAAACAAACACAAAUCUAUUGAUUUUUAUUCUCUCUUCUCUUUUUCUCUUUUAUCAUAACACGUUAUCAGCCCGAUAGCUUAAUUUUUUAAAGUUUAGUGAAUGUAGUAAUUUGGUAACAUGUAAAGUUUUCUACAUACAUAUGCAUUAAAAUGAGGUUGAUUCUUCUUCUAUUUCUUCUAUGCCUUUUUGCUCACAAAUCUAUAAUGAUUAUUCCGUUAUAUACAUAAUGUUUAGAAGAUUUUUUUACUUAUACAUUUUUUGUAAUUAAUCUUUCUAUACAAAUUCAUAUCAUAUUUGUAUGAUAAAUUAAAUAUUUUUAGAUUUUCUGCUAUAAACUUUAAAUUAAAAAUUUAUCAUGUUGUUACUUCUAAAAUAGAACAACAUUAUAAUUAAUGUUCCAAAAAAAUAUUAUGUUUAUUGCUCCUAAAGAGUAUAAUAUUAUUUUCAAUAUUCUAAAAGAAUAUUGAUUUAUUGCUCUUGAAGAAGUAAUAAUCAAAUAUAAAGUGAUCUCGAAAUAGUACUUAUCUCAUUGUUUUCUUAAAAAAAUAAAAAUAAAACAACUCAAUAUUGGAUUGUAAUUUUUAAAGAAAAUUAGUCUUCCAUAUUAUUAAUAUUCAAGAAGAAUAUUAAUUUAUCGCUCUUGAAGAGCAUAAAUUAUAAUUUUCAAUAUUCCAGAAGAAUAUCAACAUAUUGCUUUUGAAGAACUAAUAAUUAGAGAUAAUGUGCUUUCGAAGUAACAUAUUUUCGAAGAAUAUAUCAUUUUGAAUUCAUAUUUAUCCCUAAAAAAUAUAUAGAUAACUAAUGUCAUGAGAAUAUUGAUUAGUUUUACUAUUUGAAUGAUAUAUGAUUAUAUAAGCUUUAUUCAUAUUAUUUGAAAUUAAAUCAUUGAAUUAUAUCUUAUAUUAAAUCGGAAGUUCAAUUUAAUUUUAUUGUUUCACAUGACUAGUUGGAUCAUCACUGAAUUAAUAAUGAUUUGAAAUUAAAAAUUCAAAUGGAUAUUCAAUGAAGAACCAGAAGAUUCUGCAAUUCAAUCGUAUAUGAUGUUUGUUCUCUUUCACAAAAAAAUUUCAUUAACCAUCACUAGCUAAAGCAGGGACCGUAUUCCCUAAACUUAUAAAAAUUAAUUAGGUUGAUAAAUGGAGCCAUAUCAUCCUCCACAUUGAUCAUCUAAAUAUUAUUUGUAUCUAAUAGAUUUGAUACAUAUAUUAGAUGAUUGCAUCGUGUUCGAAACAUGAAAUUUGCGAAAUUAUUGUUCAAAUUUAAAAUUAUAAGCAUAAUUUUCAGAUUAUGUAAUCAAGACUGUGUCUUGUCAAUGCUAGUGGGCAUGAAUCUCAAUAUUUUAAUAAGGUAGUGUUUGAUUCACCCAAUUCCACCCAAAAUGUAGUGUUUGAUUCAAAAGAUUUUCCAUGGAAUUGGUUUCUAGUUUUUAUUGGAAGUUGUGAUAUUCCAUUUUCCACCCAAAAUGUAGUGUUUGAUUCAAAAAAAUUUCCAUGGAAUUGGUUUCUAGUUUUUAUUGGAAGUUGUGCUAUUCCCUGAUUUGGUGGAAUUCUAAUUCUCACCAUAUGGUAAGAAUUGGAAUUCCCAGCUACUGUAGCAAAUUUUUUUUUCGUUUUUUUUAGGCAAUGAAAACAAAUUCUAAGAAUUAUCGUAAAAAAAUAUUUCUCUUUCAUUGAUAAGUUUCAUGUAAAACAAAGUCAAACGAACACUAAAAAAUAGAUAAUUUUCUUGAAUUUUUUAUUUUUUAUUGUUAUUAUUAUUAUUAUUAUUUUUUUUAUGAUGGAAACCAAUGUCAUCCCCAAUACAAUCUUUUUAAUUGACAAUUUUCAUGUAAAACAAAGUUAAACGAAUAUCAAAAAAUACUUUUAUUUCAACAUUUUCCACGUGGAAAAUUAUAGCAAUCAAAUACAAUAAUUUACAAUUCCCAGAAAAACAAUUCUAGGUAAUUCAAUUCCCUGGAAUUCGUUGUCCACCCAAUUCAAUUCUAUCUUUGCAAUCAAACGAACCCUAAGUAUUAGUUGGGAUAUCAAUAAAUGGUUUAACAUUAUUGUUUGUUAAACGUUUCCAAUUAAUAUAAUUGAGAACAAAGUAUUUUCCCCUUUUAUUUAGAAAAUUAUAUUAUGCAUCAUAUCAAAAUUAUAGUUCUCCCUAUUAUAAUUAGCUUAUGAUCAGAGCCUAAUUUUUUCAUUUAAUUAUUUUGAUAGUGCAGUAUAUGUAAAAUUGAACCACCACAAUGCACUGAAAUAGAAAAUAAAGAAUGUUGAAAAUAAAUGCGAAGUUUGAAUCCUUCUCCCGAAAUAGGGAUAUUUUAUAACGAGGGAAAAAUGAUUGUCAAUUUGAUUUGAACAAUUCUCUCAGAGUUAAGGGAAGAAUAAAGAAUUUGAAAAUGACGUAUAAAUGCAUUAUCAUCUAAAUCCUCACUAAAUAUUAUUCAAAUCAGAAGUUUGAAAGAUAAUUUAUUUAGAUGCAUUUACUGAUCAAAGAAAUAAACAAUAUCUCACGUACCAAUUUUAAAUGCUCCAACAUGAAUUGAUACCCUAUGGGGACAAUUUGUUGACAUUUAUAUGAUAUAUCUAUGACACGCUAGAAAAGUGAUGGUAUUCGAUUCUAAUACAAAAAAAUUCAAACGAAAAUGGAGCAAUUAGCAAAGAUGAUCUCAUUAAGAAAGUAUAUAAUCUGGAUGAGUAUUUAGAUAUAACAAAUUAUAAAAACCUCAAAAAAGGUUCAAGUUCCUAAAAUAAUGAAUCGUGAGAUAUUUCAAUAAGUUAUUUCAUUAUGGAAAAUAAAUAGAAUCGAAAGGAAAAAUUUGUUGACAACAAUUUUGCACAUUAUAUACUGUAUCAUAUAGUAAGGAAUCAAAAUAAAUGCAUCGAAAUAUAUCGAUCAAAGUAAUGAUUGAUCAAAUAAAACGGACGCAUGUAGUAUAAUAGCCCUAACGAAUAUUUGUUGAAGGAAGGUAAUAGAAAUGACAAUAUCUGCCCAUGUAUUUUUAUAAAAAAACAAAUAUUAGAUUUGUAAUUGUAGCACUUUAUGUUGAUAAUUUAAAUUUAAUUGUAACUGUUGAAGAACUCAACAAAACUGCUGAUUAUUUGAAAAACGAAUUUGAAAUGAAAGAUUUGGGAAAAAUAAAAUUUUAUCUUGGGUUGCAAAUUGAGCACUUAUCAGAAAGAAUAUUUGUUCAUCAGAAAAAAAAUCUUAAAAACUUUUUAUAUGGAUAAUAUAUAUCCAUUGGCAUCACUUAUUUGAUCACAUGAUUUGAAAAAUGAUCCAUUUUGUUUACUUGAAAAUGGAGAAAAUAUUUUUGAUCCUGAAGUACCAUGUUCAAUUUGAGCUUUAACUUAUCUUGCAAAUUGGACACGACCUGACAUAACUUUUUAUGUAAAUCUCCUUACAAGAUAUGACUUUACACCAACUCAAACACAUUGUAAUGAUGUUUAAACAUAUUUUUCAUUACAUAAAGAGCACUGUUGAUUUGUGAUUAUUAUAUUCUCAAAAGUUGAGAUCUACUUUUGUGGGAUAUAUAUGCAGAUGUAGGUUAUCUCUCUAACCCAAGUAAAGAUAAAUCACAAAAAUGAUAUGCGUUUAUCCAUGGAGGAACAGUUAUAUCAUAGAGAUCUGUAAAACAAUCAUUGACAGCAACAUUCUCAAAUCAUUAUGAAAUUAUUGCAAUCCAUAAAGUUAGUCAAGAAUAUGUAUGAAGACAAUGCAACUUGUUUUGCACAUCUCAAAAGAUACGACAUCAAAUGUGAGAGAACGAAUCGUAUUUCUCCAAAAUUCUUUUAUACACACGAGUUUCAAAAGAACGAUGACGUCGAUAUCCAACAAAUUUGCUCAAAUGAUAAUGUGGCUAAUUUAUUCACAAAAACACUGUCGACAUCUACAUUUAAGAAAUUGGUUUAUGAGAUUGGAAUGCUUUGACUCAGAAAUUUUCAGUUAUCAACAUCAAUGGGAGUAGUUGUACUCUUUUACUUUCGCUUAGGUUUUAUCCCACUGAAUUUUUUAGUAAGGUUUUAAUGAAGUAACAUUUAUUUUUAAUACUCCAAAAAUAAUUAUACUCUUUUUCCUUUGUUUGAUUUUUUUUUAUCCCAUUAGAUUUUUAUCAAACAAAAUUUUAACGAAGCAAAUAAUUUAUAAUGUAUCAUUUAAAGGGAAGUGUUGUAAAUGAUAAGUUAUUAAUGAAUAAUAAUUGUACCCUGCAGUCCUAUAAAUUAUUACAAUUGUAUCAUUAAUUCUCCCCUAUAAAUAUAGGAUUUUGGUUCUUAAUAAAACAUACACAAAUCUAUUGAUUUUUAUUUUCUCUUCUCUUUUUCUCUAUUUUCAUUACAAAAAAGAAAUUUAGAGAAUUGUGCUAAUAACUCGUUACUAAAUUAAUGUUACAACAGAGAGAGAGAUGAUUCAUCAUAAUAUUAGAUCCAUUUAUAGAGUUCCAUUGAAAUUAGACCCAUAUAUAGAGUUCCAUUGACUUACAAAUUGAUCUAAAUACAGAAUUUUAAAAUAAGUAUAACUACUUUUGAAGUAUCUGUACUAUCUAAAUAGUCAUCUAUAACAAUUUAUCAGUUGAUUAGGUAGGAAUUUGAACUUGUUAGAUGGAAAUCUGAUGGAACCAAAAUCAUAAAAUUUAAACUGCAAAAUUCAUGCUCUCUUUCCACAAUCUUUAUUUAUUUGUGGCAUGGAUGAGUGCACUUGAAUGGGUACAUCAAUUAUUUAUUAGAAGUACGAAGAAGUGAUUUAUUAAUUCUGCACUAAAAUUGUAGCAGAAUAAUCUAAUUACAACACAUUAAAAUUAAGUAAAAUGCCAGGACAUGUCACAUAUUUUAGUUUGUCAUUUUUCUUUUACUUCUUGAGGAUUCUUUAAUUGUAUAAUAAUGUUUGAUUAAUUUUAACCGUUAGUUUAUGUUUAACUAUCUCAUCUAGAAGUUCGAACAAUCAGAUAAAGGAGAAAUUUAUUUUUUAAUUACAUAUCUAAAUUGUAAAUUACAAAAAUAAAUAAUAUUAAAUUGAAUCGAAAAUAUUAAUUAUAUUUUAUUUUUAAUGGUUCAUGUAUUAAGCCUAUGUUUGGAUACAAAUUUAUACAUAGUUUAUAAAUACAACUAAACUCAAUCAUUAAUUUAAAGCAGACAUUCUUAAUUACUCACUAUUAACAUAUUUCAUCAAAACCACUAUUAUGCAUCUUAUUAUUUUUCUUUAUAAACAAUUUAUAAAUUUGUCGAAUAGAAGCUAAACUGAGAACAUUUUCAUAUCUUCAUUAUCUAUGGAUGAAAAUGACAUAUGAACAAAAUAAGAACUAUUUGAUCACGGACUUCAUGAUCAAUAAUUGAAAGACCAAAUUAUGUACCAAUUGUUGUACAAGCAAAAAGAUAGUUGGCAACGUUCUAAAAUGGAUAAUGCGCAGUAAUGCAUUUCAAUCGAACAUCAAGCAUUACAAGUAUAUUCAUGUCUAUGCGAAGCGUAUGUGUAAUUAUUCUUUUUGCGAAUUUUUAAUAUUAUUUUAAAUAUUUUAAACUACUAAAUAAAUAAAAUAAUACGUGCUUGAAACUUUAUACAUAUUUUUCAAAUUUUCAACAAAAAUAGAUUGCUCAAAAUCAUAAAUACUAUAAUUACUUAAUAAUAAAUUUUUUACAAUUUGAUUAUAUACGAACACUGGCUUAAAAAAUUCUAAAUUUUAUCAAACUCUAUCGAAUUUCAAUUCAAUAUCAUCUUCUUCAUCCAAGACAUCCGAUACAAAAUAUUCAUCGGACUCCCUAGAAUUUCUAUUACCUCUUGUAAAUGGUAAGAUAUCAUUUUUCAACCUCCUCAUAACAACUAUCAAUAAUUUAAAGUUGGGCAUUAAUAACAUCACUUGCUAGUAAAGCUAGAGGAAUAUCGAAGAAGAAGGAGACUUUGGGCUCAGUUUAAAAAGUUUGCAACUCUACGAAAAAUUGUUUUUAUUUUUUAAACGUCGAAAACCCUAUAGAAUGUUGUAUGUAAUUAAUGAGAUUGGGUGAUAUGGGCUAAUUUGAUAUUUGUUGGGCUCAAUUUGCAUUUUUUUUUUUUUAAAGUUAUAAUAAUGAGUUGAGCUUUGCUAAAGCUCGACUACUUUUAACACACUUUAUAACACAAACACGUCGCAGUUUGUAUAAAGUGAAUUAUGACCCAAGCAACACCGCCUAUUCAUGUCCCCCCACCCUAUAAAUAUGGAUCCUUCAAUCAUUCUUCCCCAACCCGAACCCAGACUUCUCAUAAUUCCUAUAUAACGAACCAAUCAUGUCGCAGAUUCAUUCUAUAAAUGAAGCCUUUGACCUCGAUCUCGCCUUAACAAUAAUAGAUUGCGGGUCGGACUCAGGCAUGAACCAUUCGACGGAACCCAUGGCGGCCGACCCGAUUGAGAUGCCUACGGUUACUGCGAGUGGCUCCUGUGCAGUUUGUAUGGAGGGAUACAGAUCAGGUAAGCAAGUCCCGUGUGGACACGUGUUCCAUGCAGUUUGUAUCACAAGGUGGCUCUCUCGCCAUAACUCUUGCCCUUUAUGUCGGUUCCAAGUCUCCGGCGCCACCAGCUAGGUUGUUUUGUGAUUUUUUUUAAAUUUUUUUUGGCGUUUUUGAGGGGUGAUUUGACAGUGUGAGAAGAAAUUCUAUUGUUCUAUUCAGUUCGCGUUCAUGUCUGUGUUGUGAAAAAAAUAAAAAAAAAGUGGAUUUCUUAUUUAAUUUCCUUUUAUUUUGUAAUAAAUUUAUAUAAAUCAGUAAUUCUUUUGAAGAUAUUGGCGGAUAGACCACGAGCUCUUGUGGGCUGAACACGCCUGAACAAAUGCAUAGGUGUAUGAAUGUGGCAAGAAUUUUCCGUGCCAUCAAGAAUUGGAGCAAGGACGAAAAACGAAGUCCCUU